CAACCUCUUUAUAUCUGUAGACCUCGUACGCACUUACGCUGUAAUAUUAUUACAAACACAAAAUUAAAAGAACAGAAACCGUUUCGAAAUUACGAAGACUUAUUUGUAGGAUUCCAGCUACCCUUACCCAUCANUAAAAGUGCAUGAAGUCGAAGACUAUGAUUUAUUUAUUAUCAUUUUAAUACGCUAAUUUGAUGGUCUAUUUAGAGAUUAAGGCCGUGGGCUUUAGGAAAUAUGGAGACAUGGUGUUUUCUUUAAUUUCCUUAGCUAAAGUGGCGGCUAGGUAUUGGGGUUAGGGGGCAUAUAUAUAUUAGGUUUUAAUUUCUCUUGUUACCUUUAAGAUUGAACUCAUAAUAUAGAUAACUUUUUAGGAAAGCGAGAAAAUAUUUGUAUUUAUCAAAAAGAAAAAGGAAUGGGACACAUUGUAAACAAAGAUGUGGAAGGUUGCAGAGCAAAACAACCGGGAAUGUGGGGCCCAGUAGACCCAAAAGGCGAUUUUGCAAAUAAAUUCUGUGUGAGAGAUACCCGAUAUGUCUAUAAAUACGCUCACGCGCCUCAUUUAUCGUUGUCACGCACUAUUCGGGACUAUCAUGUCAGACCUGACACUGUAGCCAAAGCCUUUCCUAUUGGUCCGUGCUUUCCACGCUCAUUUCUCGCGAGUGCUGCGCUUUGAAAUAAUCCGAUUCCCCUUGUUCCGUUGUUUAUCAGUUUUGCUACUGCCACGCCGCUCCGUAAGAGAAAAUAAAAUUCUUAGAGCAUCCGUAAUGGGCUUACUUGAUAGCCUACUUGAUAGCCUACUUGAUAGUGGUUGUGUUAUUGAGUAGGUAGUGCUGAUUGGGGUUACUUGAUAGCCUACUUGAUAACAUUAUUUUGAUUUUUAUGUUUUUNAUUUAAAUUUAAUUGCGCAAAUUUAAAUAACACAAUUUAUUUCAAAUUUAAAUUGCAAUAAUUAUAAAAUCCUAAAUUUACAUAAAACUUAAAUAAAAUAAAAACAAUUCCUAAAAAUUAACUAUUCUGGCCCUAGAGGUCCGAAACGUGCCCAAAGGUGCUCCAUCAAAUCAUUCGGAGCUGAGCAUGUAGUGUUAUCUCGGAGAAUAUCCCUUCGCACAUAUUCCUCGAAGGACACCGGUGUUUGUCCAGCACUCUCCGUCGAAGCACUGCUAGACGCCCCGUCAUCAUCUCUCCAGUUGGCAGCCGCUUCACCUUCGUGCUCCACAAUCAUGUUGUGGAGAAUGAUACAACACAACAUGAUGUCCUUCAGGUGCUCUACGUACCAAUUGCGCCCCGGACUUCGAAUGAUUCCCUACCGAGCUUGAAGGACUUCGAAUUAAUUUUUUUUUUUUUUAAUUUCGGGCGCGUGCAGAGCACGCGCCGCUCGAGUGCUACCCGAGCACUCGAGCAUUCCUCGAGUUCCCCCCCUCGCAACGCUGCUACUCGACCGCAACACCUUCCUCGAGUAGCCACUCGAGGAUAGCGCCGCGGGAGCUCUUAACACCUUAUCUUUAAUUUUCGUGUCCAAAGUAAAUGUGUCAAGAUAAGUGGGACGAAUCAAGUAUAAUCUUAUAAUUUCUUUCAAAGUGUUUGGCAAAAUAAUCUCUUAAACAUGCUUUAAAAAUAAGCUCCAAGAGCUUAUAAUAAGCACCUCAAAAAAAAGUUCUACUCCAACUUAUUUGUUUAUAAUCUUAUAUGCAACAAUCAUUUUACAUAUAUUAUUCAACAAUAAUUUAUUAUUUUCAUCACAUACUAUUUAAAGUUCACCCCUCUUCCAUUUUCUUUUCUAAUAAAGAUUUUUUGUGUCUAGUAAAAAAAUAUUUCUCUAACUUAUAAACUCAAUCAUCUAAACAUUUUAAUAAUUUAUAAGUUUUUAAAAAAUUAUAGUACUUCCACUGUCCCACGAAUCUUGACACGUAUACCUUUUUGAGUCGUCCCACGAAUCUUGACACAUUUCUAAAUAAGAUAAUAAUUAUUGUCUUAUCUCUCCUACUUUAUCAUUUUUAUACUUUAUUAACAAGACACUUAAAACACUAAUCUAUAAUUCAUUAAUUUUCGUGUCAAAACCAAACGGGACGGAAGAAGUAUUUUAUAAACUUUUAAAAUAUUUUAUAAAUUUUUAGUACUUAUUAACUCCUUAAAAUAAACUUAGCUACAACCUCUUUAUAUCUGUAGACCUCGUACGCACUUACGCUGUAAUAUUAUUACAAACACAAAAUUAAAAGAACAGAAACCGUUUCGAAAUUACGAAGACUUAUUUGUAGGAUUCCAGCUACCCUUACCCAUCAAUCCAUUACUUAUCCUCGCCAAAAAAAUGAAGGGGAAUCUGAUUUUCGCCAACGGUUUACAGAAGGCUGAUUCGAAUUCAAAUCCUCUGUGGAAGUGGAAAGGAAUCGAUUUGGCGACGAGAAAGCCCGAAAACAAGCCGUAUUCGGUGCCGGAAUUCUUCCACGAGAAGAUAGAUGACGCUGUCCUCGGCCCCGGAGUCGGCGCCGGAAUUGGCUGCGGCGCGGGGUUGGGGUUGGGGGUGGUCGGCGGCGCCGGCUUAUUCAGCUCGCCGUGGAAUAAUCUUAGAGUGGCAUUUGGCGUUGGAAUUGGAUGCGGCGUGGGUGUUGGAGUCGGGUACGGGCAGGGAUACGGCGGAGGGUUCAGCUUGGAAUCCCUUAGAUCUUAUUGGCUGAAGCCCAGAUCCAAAUCUAAGGGCCGGGUUCGGGUUUAGGUAUCAUUCAUUUCGCCCGGAAAUUUUGCUUUCAUCUUCUUUUUCGGAGAUUUUGUAGCUUCGUGUUUGAUGAUAAAAUGUUUAUUUUGUUUCAUAUUUUGUUACUCGUCCAUCAAUUCAUGCUAUAUGGUGCUUGAUCUUGUACCCGGUUAUAACUUUUAAGCAUAGGAGUAAAACUUAUUGAUCCAAGAUUUGUCACUUUUCAAUUGCUCACCAACCGCAGGUUAAAAUUAAAUUUGUCUCAAAAUUGAUUUGGAUCUGUGAUGCGAUGGAUUCAAGCCGCAAAUACAACGUUGUGAUUUGAAAUAUUUUGUCCUGAAUUUUAUGAAAUCAGGUGGCAAUUUGCACAUC
rnacentral:lncRNA from 1 species